AGGACGAACGCUGGCGGCGUGCUUAACACAUGCAAGUCGAGCGGAAAGGCCCUUCGGGGUACUCGAGCGACGAACGGGUGAGUAACACGUGAGCAACCUGCCCUUAGCUCCGGGAUAGCUCCGGGAAACCGGAAUUAAUACCGGAUACGACCACGGCCGACAUCUGCUGUGGUGGAAAGGAUUCCGGCUAAGGAUGGGCUCGCGGCCUAUCAGCUAGUUGGUGGAGUAACGGCCCACCAAGGCGACGACGGGUA
rnacentral:rRNA from 1 species